UACGGAGGGUGCAAGCGUUGUUCGGAAUUAUUGGGCGUAAAGAACGUGUAGGCGGGCCUGUAUGUCAGAUGUGAAAGCCCUUGGCUCAACUGAGGAAGUGCAUCUGAAACUGCAGGUCUUGAGUACGAGAGAGGAGAGUGGAAUUCCCAGUGUAGAGGUGAAAUUCAUAGAUAUUGGGAAGAACACCGGCGGCGAAAGCGGCUCUCUGGCUCGAUACUGACGCUGAGACGUGAAAGCGUGGGGAGCAAACAGGAUUAGAUACCCUGGUAGUCCACGCAGUAAACGAUGUGCACUAGGUGUUGGGGGUAAUAAAACCUUCAGUGCCGCAGCUAACGCAUUAAGUGCACCGCCUGGGGAUUACGGUCGCAAGAUUAAA
rnacentral:rRNA from 1 species